rnacentral:misc_RNA from 1 species
GGUGAACCAAGUGACCUGCCUUUUUUUUUCCCUGAAUCCUGAUGAGUUGAUUCAAGUGAUCAUAACACAAAAACUCCAGUACAUAGAUCCACGGAUAGGAUCGUCCAUAAACAUAUUAAAGUACUGAAAAUCUCAAACGACUUUUCUUUGAUUACAGGCAACUGGGAGAAAAUGCAGCAUUUCAGGGCAUAAAGAAGGCAGGUCACUUGGUUCACCUAGAACGACC